UACGUAGGCAGCGAGCGUUGUUCGGAGUUACUGGGCGUAAAGCGUGCGUAGGCGGUUUUGUAAGUUUGGUGUGAAAUCUCCCGGCUCAACCGGGAGGGUGCGCCGAAAACUGCAAGGCUGGAGUGUGGGAGAGGUAGGCGGAAUUCCUGGUGUAGCGGUGAAAUGCGUAGAUAUCAGGAGGAACACCUGUGGUGUAGACGGCUUACUGGACCACGACUGACGCUGAGGCACGAAAGCAUGGGGAGCAAACAGG
rnacentral:rRNA from 1 species